GUGAAUCAUGAAAUUUUUGAACGCAAAUUGCGCUUUCUGGUAUUCCGGAGAGUAUGCCUGUUUGAGAGUCAGUAAAAUAAAAAACGGUGUGAUUGCUAUUAAUGGCUAUGCAGCGGAGUUGAGUCGUCUUUACCUGUGGGUUUAAGUGACUUAAAAUUAUGUGCGAUUUCUUAACAUAUUUAAAUUGUUUACUUACGCUCAUGAUAUCACAUAUUAGGUGCGGUCAUCCACAUGAUUUCGCGCCUAUAAUUUUUCAUUAUUUGACGUCAAAUCAGGUAAGAAUACCCGCUGAACUUAAGCA
rnacentral:misc_RNA from 1 species